CUUUGCCAGACACACAAAAUUAAUUAACCCAUAAUACCAAUUGAAUAGGAUUUUGAGAGUGUUAAAUAGUAUUUUGUGUCUUUUGAGUUUGUUCAUUAAGAUGGCAGGUCUACGGGUUCAAUAGAUUCUAGACAAGUUCAUUUUCUUACUCAAACCAACUGAAUUCUUGCAUCCCUCAUUCAUUAUCUAUGGUAUGAUAAGUAUUGUAACAAAAUGGGAAAAAGGCAAAAAAAACAACUGUUUAUGAGGUUGGG